rnacentral:rRNA from 1 species
UACGGAGGGUGCAAGCGUUAUCCGGAUUCACUGGGUUUAAAGGGUGCGUAGGAGGGCAGGUAAGUCCGUGGUGAAAUCUCUGAGCUUAACUCAGAAACUGCCGUGGAUACUACCGGUCUUGAAUACCGUGGAGGUGAGCGGAAUAUGUCAUGUAGCGGUGAAAUGCUUAGAUAUGACAUAGAACACCAAUUGCGAAGGCAGCUCACUACACAAUCAUUGACGCUGAGGCACGAAAGCGUGGGGAUCGAACAGG